GCCAGUUCCUGUAUGAUCACUGAAGUUAAGCAAUGUCGAGACUGGUUAGUACAUAGAUGGGUGACCACUUGGGAAUACCAGGUGCU